UACGGGGGGAGCAAGCGUUUGUUCGGAUUUACUGGGCGUAAAGGGCGCGUAGGCGGCCAGCACAAGUCAGUUGUGAAAUCUCCGAGCUUAACUCGGAAAGGUCAACUGAUACUGUGCGGCUAGAGUGCAGAAGGGGCAACUGGAAUUCUUGGUGUAGCGGUGAAAUGCGUAGAUAUCAAGAGGGAACACCUGCGGCGAAGGCGGGUUGCUGGGCUGACACUGACGCUGGAGGCGCGAAAGCUAGGGGAGCGAACGGG
rnacentral:rRNA from 1 species